GCUGGAAUCUUCAGUUCACCAGUCCUGAGAGAUGCCGAGCAGUCACAUCUUCUGAUUGAGGUGGCAAUGGAGAGAACUGAACUUCUGGAGAAUCAAAUCACUCUACAGAGCAGAUCUCUGACAUUACGCCUUGCAAAAGUUACUAGGAGGCCUCUUAGACCUCAUGCUUUGGCUUUGGAUAUGGUUUGCCAUGUGGACAGUUACCUUGGGCAGAAGCUGCUGGAACCUCCAUUCUCU
rnacentral:lncRNA from 1 species